UCGAAACUUUUCGUAGAUGCCGCCACCUUAGCUUUUACCUGUCAAUGAUUUUGUCAAACAACAACAACAAUUUUAUUUAGUAGUUUUGCAUAAUUUCUGUAUUAAUUAUAUUGAAAUCAUUAUGUAUUCGUCUUGGCGUGUAAGUGAGCUAAAAGCUGAACUAAUGAAAAGAGGCGCAUCGCUUAACGGAAGACGGGCAGAAUUAGUCGAAAGAUUGGAACUUUACGACCGGAAUUCCAAUUUUGGAAGUGCAGAGAAUCAGUCCAUUGACGAUGUGAUGGAAGUUCCUCAUGUUAGGACAUAUCGGGACAUAAAUGCUAGUUCAUUGUUACCUCAUGUAACCCAAACUUACAUACGACAGUAAUUUUGCUGUGAUGACAAGAAAAUAAGUGAAGCUAAGGCAUUGUGUGAGUCCCGAUACCUACCUUGUUUUAGCAAGAGGAUUUGGAUUCAAAUAUGGGG